ACUACUACUAAUUAUUGUAGAAACUUAAUUUUCUGUAAAGUUGCUUUGCAACGAUUUGUAUCAUAAAAAGCGCUAUACAAAUAAACUUGAAUUGAAUUGAAUUGAAUUGAAAAGAUGAAAGGUCUUGGGAGUGAAAGGCGAAUGAGAAACAGCAGGCCACACAACACACGGUCAGCAAGUUAAAGGAACAAGUGAGACACUUCUUAAGCUAUUUAUUAAAAUCCCCAUAUUCUUCCAUUACUGUAUACAUUUUGAGCCAAUUUUAGAACACUUACUGUUUUUAUUUGUCAUGCGUCUCCUAGCAACGAGGCACGUGUUUCUGCUUGAGUUUGUCAUGUUCAGAAUGACUUGAAAGUUUGGUAGUCUUUUUUAUUUAUCUGUAACCAUUUAUAAUGUUGGCAAAUGUGUUUUCAAAUCUGUCCCAACGUAGUGCAUUCCGGCCUUAACAUGCUCUUUUUCUCAGAGAUCUGAUAACCUAAUAUGUAUUAACAGGUGGAACUGCUUAAAAAUAUCCCUGUGGAAGCGACCACUGAUGAAGGCCUUGUCAGAGAGUAUCAGUCCCUGAGGUGAAGCGCGCAAAUAUACAGAGACUUCCAAGCAUAAGAAAUGACUUAAACUCAUUCUUUGCCAAAUAUUUCCCAAUUUGAUUGGCCAAUAAACAACUCGAGAAGGGAAAAGCUCAACUUCUUCGCCAGAUCCAAAGGUAAGAUGAGCAGUUUGGAACCAGCAAAGCAAGACCAGCGCAGAACAAAGUGAGAAAGAUGAGCCGAGAGCUGGAAAACUUUUUUGAGGAACUUGAGGAUCUAAAGUUCAACUACAAUCUGGAGGUGAAGAAAAACAUCAUCCUGGAGGAACAGCUGAAGAAGCUGGCGCUUCCCAUAGAUGUGUCUAUCAGCUAACACACAUCAGAUGGUUUUUCAGGUUAUUCGAUUUUAUUGUUACUGCUCAGUUAGAGCCAAAUGUGUGCAAAUGUUGCUUCGCUUUAUAUUCAAGUACAAUGUUUCACAAGUAGGUUCAAAUUUUUUAUUUAUUUUUUGUAAAAUAUUACAGCCUUUUCAUAUAAAGUUUACAAUAUUUGUGAUUUAUGGUCUUACUAGCAUAAGCUGGAACUGAAGGGAUUUAACUUUUACGUUUAAUCUAUAAAUCACUGCCUCAUUUUUGAAACUCAUUACAUGUAAUAAAUGACGAUCACUGUCAGUUUGUUCCAUUUAUUUAUAUACAUAUUGCUGAACCAUCCUCUGAAAUGUAUUUAAACAGAAAAAAAAAAGAAUAAAA